ensembl:piRNA 21ur-11313 ncRNA
UUUUCAUACUGUUUAAACAUG